rnacentral:rRNA from 1 species
GACGAACGCUGGCGGCGUGCCUAAUACAUGCAAGUAGAACGCUGAAGGAGGAGCUUGCUCUUCUGGAUGAGUUGCGAACGGGUGAGUAACGCGUAGGUAACCUGCCUGGUAGCGGGGGAUAACUAUUGGAAACGAUAGCUAAUACCGCAUAACAGUAGAUGUUGCAUGACAUUUGCUUAAAAGGUGCAAUUGCACCACUACCAGAUGGACCUGCGUUGUAUUAGCUAGUUGGUGGGGUAACGGCUCACCAAGGCGACGAUACAUAGCCGACCUGAGAGGGUGAUCGGCCACACUGGGACUGAGACACGGCCCAGACUCCUACGGGAGGCAGCAGUAGGGAAUCUUCGGCAAUGGACGGAAGUCUGACCGAGCAACGCCGCGUGAGUGAUGAAGGGUGUCGGAUCGUAAAGCUCUGUUGUAAGAGAAGAACGAGUGUGAGAGUGGAAAGUUCACACUGUGACGGUAGCUUACCAGAAAGGGACGGCUAACUACGUG